UAAUACGUAGGUGGCAAGCGUUACUCGGAAUUACUAGGCGUAAAGCGCGUGUAGAUGGUUUGAUAAGUCGGACGUGAAAGCUUCCAGCUUAACUGGGAGAGGUCGUUCGAUACUAUCAGACUUGAGUGUGGGAGGGGAGUCUGGAAUUCCUGGUGUAGCGGUGAAAUGCGUAGAUAUCAGGAGGAAUACCAAUGGCGAAGGCAGGACUCUGGCCCAAUACUGACAUUGAGACGCGAUAGCUAGGGGAGCAAACAGGAUUAGAUACCCUGGUAGUCCUAGCCGUAAACGAUGUUCAUUAGGUGUGGGGGGUAUCGACCCCCUCCGCGCCGAAGCUAACGCAUUAAAUGAACCGCCUGGGGAGUACGGCCGCAAGGUUA
rnacentral:rRNA from 1 species